rnacentral:rRNA from 1 species
GAUGAACGCUGGCGGCGUGCUUAACACAUGCAAGUCGAACGGUGAAGCAGGAGCUUGCUCUUGUGGAUCAGUGGCGAACGGGUGAGUAACACGUGAGCAACCUGCCCCUGACUCUGGGAUAAGCGCUGGAAACGGCGUCUAAGACUGGAUAUGUGAUGUGACCGCAUGGUCUGCAUCUGGAAAGAAUUUCGGUUGGGGAUGGGCUCGCGGCCUAUCAGCUUGUUGGUGAGGUAGUGGCUCACUAGGGCGUCGACGGGUAGCCGGCCUGAGAGGGGGACCGGCCACACUGGGACUGGGGCAGGGCCCAGACUCCUACGGGAGGCAGCAGUGGGGAAUAGUGCACAAGGGGCGGAAGGCUGAUGCAGCAGCGCCGCGUGAGGGAUGACGGCGUUCGGGUUGUAAACCUCUUUUAGCAGGGAAGAAGCGAAAGUGACGGUACCUGCAGAAAAAGCACCGGCUAACUACGUGCCAGCAGCCGCCGUAA